GCCCGGGUGCUGUAACUGGUAGCCAGUGCAGACUUAAAAUCUGCUGAGCGUAAGCUCGUGUGGGUUCGAGUCCCACCCCGGGCA
rnacentral:tRNA from 1 species